rnacentral:misc_RNA from 1 species
AAAUAAAGUGAGCGGAGGUUUCCGAAGACGCUCAAGAUGAUUUGAAGCUUAGGCGGAUAAAUGCAAGAUUUGUUGUGAACAUCCUGAAGAUAGCAACAAUUGCUUUGUUCAGCAGAGAGAGUCCUGCCAGUGCAUGGUUCAGUAACACAGGAAGCACAGCAGUGUGGCACAGUUCUGCAUCAAGGUCACAUUUUCUCAUUGAACAUUCCAUACUGUGAUUCUGUGGCACCAUUGAGAGCAAUAUCCUACCAGCAGAGCUCACAGUGGAAAAACACGUGGAAAACAGUUCCAAAGUCUAGGCAGCCAGGGGAAUUUGUGUGUCGUAUGUGUGGCAAAGUGUACAGGUAUCAGCGGAAUUUGGCAAGUCACAUCAAACAUGAAUGUGGAAAGGAACCUCAAUUUCACUGUCCAUAUUGUACAUUACGUUACACUCAGAAUGGUGCAUUAAGGAGUCACAUUAGAAGAUACCAUCAAGCAGAUUGCAACAUAAGAUGAUAGUGUACUGCUGGACGUGAUGGUUGCAAUGCCAUGGACAGAUACUGAUGUACUGCAACACACCAUUUUACUCUUUGCAAACCAAAUCUAGUAUCUUUGUCAUCUAAUUUGUGUGCCACAUUUUGUUCAGAGACUUCUUAGUACUCUCAUAUCUUCUUUCUGUGUACUCAUAAAUGUUGUGAGCAAUAAAUUAUUUUCUUGCCGUGUGGCUUAUUAGACAUCCAACAUUUUUCACAUUCAGUGCUGACAUUCACAAUUUUUUUGUUACCUGUUCUAGCCAGUGUCAAGUGAUAGAGUCUAAUCAACAUUAAUUCUGUAUUUCACUAAUUUUUCUAUUUCCAAUACAUAAUGGAUAUCUUUUGCAAGGAUGCGUCAUUUGGCUGCACCUAACUUUUAUGA